rnacentral:rRNA from 1 species
AGUGAACGCUGGCGGUAGGCCUAACACAUGCAAGUCGAACGGCAGCACAGUAAGAGCUUGCUCUUACGGGUGGCGAGUGGCGGACGGGUGAGGAAUACAUCGGAAUCUACUUUUUUGUGGGGGAUAACGUAGGGAAACUUACGCUAAUACCGCAUACGACCUACGGGUGAAAGCAGGGGAUCUUCGGACCUUGCGCGAUUGAAUGAGCCGAUGUCGGAUUAGCUAGUUGGCGGGGUAAAGGCCCACCAAGGCGACGAUCCGUAGCUGGUCUGAGAGGAUGAUCAGCCACACUGGAACUGAGACACGGUCCAGACUCCUACGGGAGGCAGCAGUGGGGAAUAUUGGACAACGGGCGCAAGCCUGAUCCAGCCAUACCGCGUGGGUGAAGAAGGCCUUCGGGUUGUAAAGCCCUUUUGUUGGGAAAGAAAAGCAGCAGGUUAAUACCCCGCUGUUCUGACGGUACCCAAAGAAUAAGCACCGGCUAACUUCGUG